rnacentral:rRNA from 1 species
GACGAACGCUGGCGGCGUGCUUAACACAUGCAAGUCGAACGGAAAGGCCCUGCUUUUGUGGGGUGCUCGAGUGGCGAACGGGUGCGUAACACGUGAGUAACCUGCCCUUGACUUUGGGAUAACUUCAGGAAACUGGGGCUAAUACCGUAUAGGAUCUCCUGCUGCAUUGUGGGGGUUGGAACGUUUCGGCGGUUGGGGAUGGACUCGCGGCUUAUCAGCUUGUUGGUGGGGUAGAGGCUUACCAAGGCUUUGACGGGUAGCCGGCCUGAGAGGGUGACCGGCCACAUUGGGACUGAGAUACGGCCCAGACUCCUACGGGAGGCAGCAGUGGGGAAUAUUGCACAAUGGGCGGAAGCCUGAUGCAGCAACGCCGCGUGCGGGAUGACGGCCUUCGGGUUGUAAACCGCUUUCGCCUGUGACGAAGCGUGAGUGACGGUAAUGGGUAAAGAAGCACCGGCUAACUACGUG